GCCCUGUUUUUUUUUUUUAAUUUUUUUUUUUUUUUAAAGAAGGUUGCAUUCAGGCAGAACUGUCAUUAGAUCUGGGACAAAAUAGGCCUGUGUGAUACUGACAGCAUAGAUACAUCUUCUAUCUGGGAAGAUGAGGAGCAUGUGGGCGGAGAGGGUUGUGUAAGCCUGCUUCUUCCCUCGUGGCUGCCUUCUCACCUUUUUUUUGAGUUGACUGACAAAUGAGUACAAGUUACGGCACUCUACUGCUUGUGCCUAUUUUCCUACCAACAUGAAGUUUAUAUCUAUCAUAGAUCUUAACAUGCAUUAUGCUUACUACCUUGCAUAGUACCAUUGUUGUCCAGUGAGUCUAUACCAUCCUUGCCUUUCAGUUGUCGUCCCAGUUAGGCUGCUGCAAAGGGGUCACAAAGAAGGUGUGUUUUUCCCCUGCAGAUGUAUACUGGCCUGCCCACUGUUUCUAUGAGGGUUUAUAGACCAGACUCAUUCCAGGAGAGAUGUUAGCCCGUCAAAGAAUUGGGUCUAAGAAAAGAAGAGGUAGAUGAUAUCUCUGCAAUUCAAUGAAGUGCCCUGGAGCCAACCUUUGUGAAUCACAUAGAGAGUACAGAGCAGCCAGAAGACUACUUCUAGCCUAUGCCUGCACCGAAACCAGCUUCUAGAAGCCCCCAAGCAGCAGGAAAUAUAAACCAUAUCCCCCCUGGUGCCAGUGCCUGUACCAUCACCAUCUGGCCCUGGGAGAUUACCCAUGGUAGUCAGCACCAUUCCGGUAUUGUCUGUAGGAUCAAGCACCCUACCAGUAAGACCUAUACUGCAUCAGUGGCACCCGUGUCUCUUGAUGUAACCCCUUCUGUUCCCAGACUGUCCAGUAAUACAACAUUGGUACUCUGUUUCUCAUCCGCUUCAUGGUUAGUAUAGCCACAAUAUUAUAAAGAUCUGUUUUUACUAUUAAGAUACACAAUACUAAGUCACAUCCAUAAUGCACAUGCUUAUUUAUUUUUUCUUGUUUACUUUCCUAUCGUUUUUUCUUCUAUUUUCACAACUUCUAUCAUUAUUUUAUUUCUUUGCUCAUGUUCAUGGUAUAUAUCUGAUCUCUGGUUGCAGGAGGGGUAAAUUAUUGACUAAAAUGGGUUAGUCUGUUAAUAGGUAUUAAGCAUUAACACCAGUCUUUGUACAGCCUUGAAACAUGCAGAUAAAUGUACUACGGUAGAAGAACAACAAUGAAUAAACAUGACAUUAAAA
rnacentral:lncRNA from 1 species